AUGAUUCAAAGCCAUGUUUUUCUGGUGUUAUCUUUGUCGUUUGGUCAACUAAACUGGUGCUACGCCCUCAUGAGAAGAAUGAAUGUUGUGAGCUCCCAGCGGCUAAGUGUAGUGUGUUUCACGUCUUGGCUGAAUUUGUUACAAAACCAUAUCAGAGAAAUUGUUAGAAUCUUGCCCGUACGACUCUUUUCUCCUUCUGCCAUAAUUUUGUUUUGUAUACUAUUACUAUAUGAUACAUCCAUUGCUGAUGUGUACAUCACGUUUUGCAGUUGUAGAAUUAAUUAUUCAGGCGUGAGUGAUUGA
rnacentral:rRNA from 1 species